AUGAUUAGCUAACCAAGAAUCUUUUACUGUCAAUGACCUCAACAAUAAUCAACAUUUCACAUCUUUUACCAUUAGAACUAUUUGUAUGCUCACCUAUUGGUGAUGAAAAGUGCCACACGUCACUUUGUACUUUGUUACAUUUUUUAUGUGCUAAAAUAAAUCUUGACAAUAAUUACUGUAUGUUGUGUAUGUUAACAAUACACAGAAUUAUUUUUAUCCUGUACUGCAACAACUGUCCAGCAGUCCUUGCAAACAGAUGUGCAGCCUCGGCCUGAAGACAUCCGUGGCAGAGAACUCAGACCGAAAGUCCCAACCGAGUCCCAUCAGCAAGGAGGUUGAUUGCCAGAAUGGCCAACCAACCCUUGGACCACCGUGGCCGGACCUGGAACAGGUUUUCCGAUUGAUGGAUUGACAAAAGAACUCCUUUCAAAUGUGCUGCACUUAACAGAUUCCCCUUGUGUUACUUUUACUUUUAUACUUGUGUCAUUUUCAAACUCUUCCAGGUUUACUUUGGAAACAAGGUUGAAUUACUAUCAAAUUCUACAGAGGCCUCCUCAAACCUUAAUAUCUACUUCUCUUUUAGUGAUGAAUGUGAUUACUUUUGAAAUCUUUUGUCAGUAUGUGUCCAACAUCCACUGAAAAGUUUCCGACGAGUUUUGGGUUUUGGGCGGAAAUGUGGUACAAGCUCUUGGAAUCCACUCAUCCAUCCAUUCAUUUUCUUCACCGCUUAUCCUCACGACGAUCGGGCCUAUCCCAGCUGUCAACGGGCAGGAGGCAGGGUACACCCUGAACUGGUUGCCAGCCAAUCGCAGGGCACAUUGAGGCAAACAGCUGCACUCAAAAUCACACCGAGGGGCAAUUUAGAGUUUCCAAUUAAUGUUGCAUGUUUCUGGAAUGUGGGAGGAAACCGGAGUGCCCAUGCAGGCACGGGGAGAACAUGCAAACUCCACACAGGCGGGGUCAGGAUCGAACCCUGGACCUCAGAACCGUGAGGCCAACACUUUACCGUGUCGCCUGAAGACUUCCGCUCAACUCAAAAUUUACAACGUGACCACCAGCUGAAAUAAAACAGCUCCCUGACAACCGCUUGCUGGGGUGGGUGUUUCAUCUCUGGCUGACCAGGCCCACUUGACCUCAACGAUUCCAUCUAGUGACGCUCCAAGAACACCACUUGGAGAGAGUCCGAGUCCUGCUGGCGAUCCAGGCUGGCCAGUGAUGCGUGUGUACUCUGCAAGAGUGACAGGUUCAUGAAGGAUCCCCCAGUCCACAGCCUGAAAAACAAGUUAUGCUCAAUUUGGAUUCAUCAUACAUGGAAUGGAGUUUAGUGAAAAUAAAAAUGAUUUAAAUCUUUAA